GAAUUUAAUAUAAUUUUUGAAUUUAUUUAAGGAAAUAAAUUUUAUUUUAAUAAUUAUAUUUUAUUGGGAGGAUAAUUAAACAGAAUAAACUUUAAUUUUAAGAUAAUUUAAACAUUAAUUAAUGAAAUUUUUAUUGAAGAUUGAUUAUUAAAUUAGAAAGAAAAUUUAUAAUAAUUAUUAUAAAAAUUAAUUACCUUAGGGAUAACAGCGUAAUAUUUUUAGAAAGAUCAUAUUGAUAAAAGUGAUUGC
rnacentral:rRNA from 1 species